rnacentral:lncRNA from 1 species
CAUACCCAGAUCAUGGUGAAAGUAGCAGAGAUAGUGUUGGCGUUUCAGACACUUUCAGGAAACCUGUGACUCAGAGUUUUGUUAGGUUUGAUAUUCUUCCAACGUCAUUGAUCUCUUUCCCAUUUAUAACAGCCAAACAGACAGCGAACACUUAACAGAUUCCAUGCAGUAGUUAUUCUCACGGCAGUCGCUAUAGGGACAAUAAUUGAAGGAGGCUAUAGUAACCACAUGGAAUUGGACUACGGCGCAAAUUGAGGAUUUUGAGGUGUGCGUCAUGGGCAGUGUUAGUAGUAGCAGGGGUUACUGUAGUAGCAUUGUAGGGAGAGUCUAUGUUGUCAGGAAAUGACCCAUGCGUUGCAGUGUGUAUAUUCCCAGGUGAAAGCGGCACAUGAGGAGCAGGAGAUAACCGAGAGAACGGGCUGAAUUCUGGAGAUUGAGUGUACAUCAAGAUACACCUGGAGGGGGUGUUGGGACAGCGUUGGUCUGGUCUACACACAGUACUCCUUACAGCACCUGCAGUGGUAAAGAUCGUCUCUCCUCGGUGGGUUCACCCUUCUCACGUGAAGUGAGGUCCAGCUGCAUAAUGGGUGAGCUUGAAGACGCAGUGACAGAGGAAGCGGAGCUAAAGAGAGAGAGAAAGAGUAGAUUCCACUAUAGACAUGCAGAUGGGUUGGGUCUUGGAGCUACUUUAACCACCAUAGUUGGGUUGGGUUAGUUGCUUUAUUGGUUAAUGCAUCAGAUGAAAGGAUAGAUGUUGGGGUAAUUGUACUCUGGACAACAUUCUGGAGGCAUUGAUGUGAAAGCAUAUACAGUGCUGGGUUACCUCAAGAGGAUGUAGCGUUGAUUAGGGAUACGCAUUCGCCUAUCAGGUGACGUGCCUAUCAGGUGGCAAUGGAGGAGGAAAGAGAUGAGGAACAAAGUGAAAAUGACAUGGCUUGGGAACACCUCUUGGAUCCUGUGGUCUGACGGGGAAGACUGGGCGAAAGCAUGAGGAGGGUUUUUAAGGCUUUCAUUUUUGCCAAACUCAGCAGAAAAGUAUCCUGAAGGCAUAGUCAGACUGUCUCAAAACAUCUGAACCUGAGGAGCAGCGAGUUCUCCACAGAGAGCUUCAGGGUCACCUGGGAACACUCAGCCCAAGACGUGGUCCUCUACACUCACCUGGACCCCAACCAGAGGAGGAGCACUAAUGAGGUGGAGAUGAGAGGUCGAGACGCUGGAGGUCAAUUCGGAGUCUGAGGACCGCGUGGACAACAGUGGAUGCAUCAAUUCAGGCUAGGCUAAGUGUAGGCCUAAUGACAAUGGCAGAAUGUCAUCACAAUACACCUAGGUGUUUUGUAACAGGUGUCUCUUUCCAUUCAUCACAUUGCGGCUGCUCAGUGCACUGUUGGGGUUUGGUUGCUGAAACUAUUUAGUGAGUGGACGAAUGUUCGCAGAUAGCCUAUAGGAGCGCCUUUGUUAAGCGAUUGUUUGGCAGUCAGAUGAAAACCUCCUGACUGGUUGUGUUUAUUCCACAUUAAAAGGCAUAGGCGGCGUAUCCAUAAGGCUAGGGGAAGCUACGCUUUCACUAAAGUAAAUAUAAUUAAAUUGCUAAAAUUAUAUAGCCUAAUUAGCUUACUCCUGUCUAUACAGAAAUAAAUAAAAUCAUUGAAAAUCGGAUACUACACCAGAAAGCAUGAUUUGGCCUACAGUUGGAAGAGCCCGCAUGUUGGGCAGCACGUGCUGCAAAUACAAAAUAGAUUAUUGUUGAGAUGUGACUGUCAGUGAAAAGCAGAGACCCAGCAAUGCAUAUCAUAUUAUUUAUUUCAAUGAUUUCCUUAUAUGAACUGUAAGUCGGUAAAAUCUGUGAUAUUUUUUCAUCUUGUGUUUAUAUUUUUGUUCAGUAUAUAAUAAUGUUAUGGUAAAUUUAAGCAUUUUAUGAUUAUUCCUCGUGACUACUUGUUUUGUUCCACAGUUUGUCAUGGUUAUAAUAUCAGUAUGUGCAUGUAGUUUAGAGUUUCAAUUUUUAAUGUCAUGUGCACAAGUACAGUGAAAUGCCUUUCUUGCAAGCUCUAAACCCAACAAUGCAGUAAUCAAUAAUAAGAUGUAUAGAUGUUUGUGAUGAUAUUGUACACAGUAAGUGCCAGGAAAUGUGUGUGUGCAAUAUCAAGUAACCCAAU